rnacentral:rRNA from 1 species
AUUGAACGCUGGCGGCAGGCCUAACACAUGCAAGUCGAGCGAGUGGCGGACGGGUGAGUAAUGUAUGGGGACUGCCCGAUAGAGGGGGAUAACUACUGGAAACGGUGGCUAAUACCGCAUACUAUCGGAUAACCCAUAUGGGAUUAGCUAGUAGGUGGGGUAAAGGCUCCCCUCGGCGACGAACCCUAGCUGGUCUGAGAGGAUGAUCAGCCACACGGGAACUGAGACACGGCCAAGACUCCGACGGAGGCAGCAGUGGGGAAUAUUGCACAAUGGGCGCAAGCCUGAUGCAGCCAUGCCGCGUGUAUGAAGAAGGCCUUAGGGUUUUAAAGUACUUUCAGCGGGGAGGCGUUACCCGCAGAAGAAGCACCGGCUAAAUCAGGGCCAGCAGCCGCGGUAAUUC